GCAGAAAUUAGAUUUCACAAUGCUCUUAAAGUGUCCAGAUCUGCAUGGUGACAAACCACACCGAGAUCUGACAAAUCUCUUCUCUUUGUGAUCCUCAUGACUAUACAACAGUGUCUUCAUUUGUGUUUAUAGCCCUGUUAUAAACAGUUAUAACCAGUUAUAACUGUUUUUGUGUCAUUCAUGUUUACUGCUGAAGUUUUGCCAAAGGAUCCCCCUUGUACUGUCAGAAAAGCCCCUGGGAUUCCUGAACAGUAACUAGACUUGCCUGCAGCCAGCAAAAGCUCCGUCUUUCUAGGCUGUUUCACAAAGGUGGGGAUGAAAGCAUCUCUGUGCAGCACCUGAAACUCCUCUGUCACCCAAUGUAACUUGUUUCAGGAAGCCCUUGUGGUUUUGCCCAGAGACAGAGAUUUUGGAUAUGAAGCUGUUACUUUAGUCACUGAGAGUGGAUUUGGCAUUUUAUGUGCAGUUUAUAUGAUCAUAAAAUGUAAAUCUCUUACCAUAAGUAUUUUUGUUUAAGUUAAGGAAUGGAGGUAAUACAUCUUAUGAAAACACACCAGUGACUGCAAACAGUUUAAAAUGGUCUUAUGAAUUACAAGAGUCUUCUCAGACAUGGAACGCAUUUUCAGCACAUCAGUCAUUUGUAAGUAUUGCUCAGAAUUUGUGUGGCCAAAACUCCAUUGGAAUUGAAGCUGGCCAAACUGUGGGGGACAAUAAAAAAUAUUUUUUUCAUAUAUAUUAAUGGCAAAAUACAGUGUGGAAAUAACAUCAUCCGAUUACAGGAUGAGAUUGGUCACCUCACAAACAGGGACCUGGCAGAGGUGUUUAAUGCAUUCUUUGCCUUCAACACAAAUGACGGACCAAGGAGGCCUCAGUGUCCUGAGUGGAGGACCAUGACUGCAAGAAUAAUCAACUAACUCCCAGUAAACCCUGAAAUUGUGCAGGAUAUGAUGCUCCAGCUGGAUCCUGAUGUGGGCCUGAUGUGAUUCAUCCAAGAAUCCUCAAGGAGCUAGCUGAUGUCAUUGCAAAACUCCUCUCGAUGAUUUUUGAGCAAUCUUGGGAAUUUGGAAAGGUCCCAGCUGACUGGAAGCUGGCAAACAUUGUCCGAGUUUUCAAGAAGGGCAAGAAAUAGGACCCUGGAAACUAUAGGCCUGUUGGUGUCACUUCAGUGCCUGGUAAAGUUCUGGAGAAGAUUAUUCUGGGAGGUAUUGAAAAACACCUGAAAGACAAUGCAGUCACUGGUCACAGCCAGCAGAGCUUCAUGACAGGAAGAUCUUGCUUAUCAAACCUGAUUUCCUUUUGACACAGUAACCCACCUAGCUGAUCAAGGGAAGCCAGUUGAUGUAAUCUUCAUGGAUUUCAGUGAAGCUGUUGGUACUGUCUCUCACAGGAUCAUUCAGGACCAAAUGUCCAGCCCACAGCUGGAUAAACACAUCAUUGUAGUGAGUGAGCAUUGGCUCCCAGUUUGGGCAGAAGAGGGUUAUAGUGAAUGGAGUGACAUCAGGCUGUGUGUCCAGUCACUCACAGGAUUCCACAGGGCUCCAUCCUCAGCCCUGUGCUCCUCAACAUCCUCACAAAUGCCUUGGAUGCAGGCUGGAAGUGAUACUAAGCAAGUUCACAGAUGAUGUAAAACUGGGAGGAGCUGUUGACUCCUUGAAGUCUGAAGACUGCAGAUAGCCCUCAACAAAUUAGAGGGCUGGGCAACACCAACCAUAGAAAGUUCAGCAAGGGAAAGUGCCAGGUUCUGCACCUGGGAUUGGGCAAGCCUGGAUGUACAGACAGACCGGGGAAUGAGGUGCUGGAGUGCAGUGCCACAGAGAGGGACCUGGGGUCCUGGUCACUGGACAAUCAGUAUUUGCUUCAGACAGAUCCUCUUUCUGAUGAAUGGAAACUCUACACUGAAUACACAGAACACAUGAUUGUAGAUGGGCUGUUCAAAGCUAUCAAGUGUUUUCUUCAGUAUCUGAAUUCAGUGAAUGAAAACACUGAGGUUGAAUAUUUGCUUUCUUGGUUACUACUUCUCACCAGGACACCUGAUAUUGUGUCUGCUCCCAGAUCUGCAAGUACAGGAAUUACCUGAAACGUGGAAGAAUCUUAGAAAGAUUGACUUCAAUGUGAAGCAUGAAGUGGUACCUCUACAGUCCAAAGUGUGUGCUUUUGGAGAUUGCUCAACUGAAUGCCCUUAUAAACAUGCUGUUAGGGGAACUCACCCCUGGUGAUCAUCAGAACAUCAUGACAAUAUGCACAAUUGAUGUACAUGCGAGGGAUGUUGUAGCCACGCUUAUAGCACAGAAGAUGUGACAUGCUGUAUAUGGCAAAAGAGGAAAGUGAACCAGAAUCUCGAUGCCAAGUCCUCUGGGAGAUUGAAAUAUCCUGCGUGAAUAUAAGUGGAAGAGUAAGGAGAAAGUGGUUGCUCUCAGAAUCCAAAUGUGUGUGCUUCAAGUGAUAAAAAACCUCAAGAACUACAGCUUGAAUCAACCUUUUGCCUUUUUUUAUCAUCUAAGUCCUAGGAAUCCUGUUUGCAGAAAAUUAGACUUGGAACACUGUUUGUUUCUUGCAUUAAUGUUAGUAGUGAGUGUGAAGGUGAUUCACUGUUCUUACAUACCUAAAGGUAAUAUGAGAGAUGAAAUAGGGUUAAAAACUGUCAUGAGAUAUAAUAAGCAUUCAUACAUUUUAUCUGACUUGGGGCAUUGAAUCCAUGGAAACAUUGGCUUUUACACAUCAUUUUCUCAUUCACAAAAUUAAGUAAUUACAUCCUAGGAGAAAUGCACUGGCAUUGAAUAUACAGUAUCCAGACUAUGCCACUACAGGUAGCAGAUUGAGUUUAACUAGCCAUAUGGAUUGUAAUUGUCUAAGUAUGAUUAAUUCAUAAUGUUUGUUAAUUUUAUGCCUUAUAUUAUGGUUUGUUACUAUAAUGUCAGUAUUGUCUCUUUUUUUUUUGGUUUCUUUUUAAUCUGGGUUUUGAUGAGAGUCCUCAAGGGAUUUUAAUCUUAUUAUGACACUCACUAAUGAUGUCCUUAUAUUCUGGGGUCUCAUCAAUAGCUUGUUCUCCUUGCUGGAAGUUUCAUGGAAAAGGGUUCUGAAGUUAGAACAGAUGGUGCAUCAGUCCAUUGCAGAACUCUGUUUUCAGCCAGAGGAAAACUUUAUACUGAAGGUGGAAAUAAUGGUUUUCUGCUUAGCUUAUUGUAAAUUCUAAAUGGGGUGAUUGAAGACUAUAAUGAUCACUGCUGUUUGAUGCCUAUGAGUUUCAACAUCUGGCUAAUGCCUUUGCUAGCCAUAACAGUAAGAAAAAGCA